UCGGGAAUUUUGGGCAAUGGGCGAAAGCCUGACCCAGCAACGCCGCGUGAAGGAUGAAAUCCCUCGGGAUGUAAACUUCGCAAGAACGGGAAGAAUAAGUUUGUGCUAAUACCACAAGCGAUGACGGUACUGUUUGUAAGCUCCGGCUAACUCCGUGCCAGCAGCCGCGGUAAUACGGGGGGAGCAAGCGUUGUUCGGAUUUACUGGGCGUAAAGGGCGCGUAGGCGGCCUCCGCAAGUCAGUUGUGAAAUCUCCGAGCUUAACUCGGAAAGGUCAACUGAUACUGCGGGGCUAGAGUGCGGAAGGGGCAACUGGAAUUCUUGGUGUAGCGGUGAAAUGCGUAGAUAUCAAGAGGAACACCUGCGGCGAAGGCGGGUUGCUGGGCCGACACUGACGCUGAGGCGCGAAAGCUAGGGGAGCGAACGG
rnacentral:rRNA from 1 species